GAUGAACGCUGGCGGCGUGCUUAACACAUGCAAGUCGAACGAGAAAUGUAGACGGAAACCUUCGGGCGGAAGCCUUCAUUUCGAGUGGCGGACGGGUGAGUAACGCGUGGGUAACCUGCCUCAUACAGGGGGAUAACAGUUGGAAACGACUGUUAAUACCGCAUAAGACCACAGCAUCGCAUGAUGCGGGGGUAAAAACUCCGGUGGUAUGAGAUGGACCCGCGUUCGAUUAGCCAGUUGGCGGGGUAACGGCCCACCAAAGCGACGAUCGAUAGCCGAUCUGAGAGGAUGACCGGCCACAUUGGGACUGAGACACGGCCCAAACUCCUACGGGAGGCGGCAGUGGGGAAUAUUGCACAAUGGGGGAAACCCUGAUGCAGCGACGCCGCGUGAGUGAAGAAGUACUUCGGUAUGUAAAGCUCUAUCAGCAGGGAAGAAAAUGACGGUACCUGAGUAAGAAGCCCCGGCUAACUACGUG
rnacentral:rRNA from 1 species